ensembl:snoRNA
CUCCAUGCAUCAUUGGGACCUGUCAGUGGUGGCAGUCUCCUUUCCUAGCCAUGGAAGACCAUGUUCUUGUUUAUUGGCAAAGCUGUCACCAUUUAAUUGGUAUCAGAUUCUGACUUGCACAAGUAACAUUC